CCGACCCGGAAGCGAAACGAGGGGGAACUUCCGUUCUUUGUUCUGUCCCCGGUGUGUGGGUCUGUGACAGGGUCCAACAGGGCCUGGUCCGUGUCUGGUCCCCCAAAUCUGUCGUCCCUGCCCCCAGGCUCUUCCUUCAAAAGUUCCUGCCUUUUCCGACAAGGACAGCCUGGGGGAUGAGAUGUUGGCAGCUGCGCUCCUAAAGGCCAAGUCCCAGGUGAGCUGUGGUUCCGUUUAUCCUUUUCCUUUCCAUUUUCUGUGCAAUGACAUCCCAUUCAGAGCUUUAAACCCUGAUCUCCUCCAUCAGGCCCAUGGUUCUGUCCUGCUGAAUCAUGGACCCUCACCUUCUAUCUUGGACUCCUGUCUCUCUUCCUCCACCCUGUCCUCCCUUCCUCCCUUCCCAAAUGUGCAUUUUUCACCCCAUCCUCAGUGAUUUUUUGGUGCCGCCAUUCACAUUCCUCACCCUGAAAUUGCAUGCCAGCACGUGUUGUUUCAGGAGCUGGUAACCUUUGAGGAUGUAGCUGUGUACUUCAUCCGGAAGGAGUGGAAGCGUUUGGAACCUGCUCAGAGGGACCUCUAUAGAGAUGUGAUGCUGGAGAAUUACGGGAAUGUGUUCUCACUGGAUCGUGAGACCAGGACUGAAAAUGAUCAAGAAAUUUCUGAAGACACAAGAUCACAUGGGGUCCUACUGGGAAGAUUUCAAAAGGAUAUUUCUCAGGGUCUCAAGUUUAAAGAAGCCUAUGAACGAGAAGUCAGUCUGAAAAGGCCGCUGGGGAACUCCCCUGGAGAAAGACUGAACAGGAAAAUGCCAGAUUUUGGUCAAGUGACAGUUGAGGAGAAGCUAACCCCCAGGGGAGAGAGAAGCGAGAAAUAUAAUGAUUUUGGGAACAGCUUCACUGUGAAUUCCAACCUUAUCUCACAUCAGAGACUCCCCGUGGGAGACAGACCCCAUAAGUGUGAUGAAUGUAGCAAGAGCUUUAAUCGAACUUCAGACCUUAUUCAACAUCAGAGAAUCCACACUGGGGAAAAGCCCUAUGAAUGUAAUGAGUGUGGGAAGGCCUUCAGCCAGAGCUCACACCUUAUUCAGCAUCAGAGAAUCCACACUGGGGAAAAACCUUAUGAAUGUAGUGAUUGUGGGAAAACCUUCAGCUGUAGCUCUGCCCUCAUUCUGCAUCGGAGGAUCCACACGGGGGAAAAACCCUAUGAAUGUAAUGAGUGUGGGAAGACCUUCAGCUGGAGCUCCACCCUCACCCACCAUCAGAGAAUCCACACUGGUGAGAAACCCUACGCCUGCAAUGAAUGUGGGAAGGCCUUCAGCAGGAGCUCAACCCUUAUUCACCAUCAGAGAAUCCACACUGGAGAAAAACCCUAUGAAUGUAAUGAAUGUGGGAAAGCCUUCAGCCAGAGCUCACACCUCUAUCAGCACCAGAGAAUCCACACUGGAGAGAAGCCCUACGAAUGUAUGGAAUGCGGAGGAAAGUUUACCUACAGUUCAGGCCUUAUUCAGCAUCAAAGAAUCCACACCGGGGAGAACCCCUAUGAAUGUAGUGAGUGUGGGAAAGCCUUCAGGUACAGCUCGGCUCUUGUUCGCCAUCAGAGAAUUCACACUGGAGAGAAGCCUUUGAAUGGGAUCGGCAUGAGUAAAAGCUCCCUCAGAGUUACGACCGAGUUAAAUAUCAGAGAUUCUACGUGAAAGAGCCACACACCCAUUUUCCUCACUUCCCCUGAGUCUCAAGAGCUCUUGCCUUACCCUAUAAAUCUCAACAGCUUAGGAUGUGUCCCUUUCAACUCAGACCUUUCAUUUUAGAGAAUGGGGCAGAUGGGGCAAAUCGUUGAAUUUUCCCAGAAAUCACACCAGCCUUAGAAAGCGACAAGGCAAGUGGAUGGCGUGCUGGGAAUAGAAAGCAGCUUUGGGACCAGUUACCCCAUUUAGGAAAGGAGUUUGCACUAAACUGUUUUUCUCACAGCAGAGGAACCUUUCCAAGGUGGGGAUGGAAGCACAGUCGGGACAGAAUUCGAUGGAUUCCUUUAGUUGGGAGUCCGCGUAGUCAGCACAGACGGCAGUGGAAAGGACGCUCUGGGUCCUGUUAUUUGCUAGGGAGGGUAAAGGGAGACUAUUUCAAAGCUACUCUUCCUAGUCCAGCUUUAAGUUUCGGUAAGAAACAUGCUGUUUUGUUUCAUGAUUUCGUUAAUUAUGGAAAUUUGGCAUUGAGGGAUUAUUUUAUUGAGGGUAGAAGAGAUUUCAGAAUCAUCACCUGUGAUGAUGGUGUCCUUUAGGGCUCUUGGAGCAGCCAGACCAUGUUUCCAAGAGAAACCUGGUGAUACUGCCAGCAGACCCCCUGCCCUCCUCCCCAGUUGUCCUGGGGCUGAAUGGGCAAAUCUAUCCAAACAGCUAGUAACCGGCUGUGAGGGAGAGGGUCAGAAGCACUUAGCGUUGGCCUCUGAUUGCUGUCCUCUCUUGUCCUCUUCCCACUCCAAUGAGGAAAAUGAUUUUCUCUAAAUGCCUGGGUAAGGAUGCUUUCAAGGAGCUCACUCGGCCUGCUUGCCCUGCCCUCUCACCUCUGACACCCAGCCCCAGGAGCCAGACCACUCCUGCCUCCACCUCUGACUCUUCAGCAGCUGAAGAUUAAUGCAGAUAAAGAGCAAAGCCAAAAAGGGAG
rnacentral:sRNA from 1 species